UACGUAGGUGGCAAGCGUUGUCCGGAUUUAUUGGGUUUAAAGGGUGCGUAGGUGGCCCUGUAAGUCAGUGGUGAAAUAUCUCAGCUUAACUGAGAGGGUGCCAUUGAUACUGCAGGGCUUGAGUACAGAUGAGGUAGGCGGAAUUGACGGUGUAGCGGUGAAAUGCAUAGAUAUCGGGAGGAACACCAGUGGCGAAGGCGGCGAUCUGGGAAGAUACUGACGCUGAGGUGCGAAAGCGUGGGGAGCAAACAGG
rnacentral:rRNA from 1 species